rnacentral:lncRNA from 1 species
UUUAUUACUAACAUAAGUGGAGUUGCUACUGUCUUAUUUAACUCUUUAAUAGAUUUUAAACCAUUGAAGUUUAAGUAAACAGGCUUUUUUAUUCAAAAUGCUUUCCUUUUUUGAAUUCUUUUAGUGGUUGUACCUUACUGCACAUGAAGAUGACAACUUAGGAAAUGGAAAUGUAUUGCUUUCAUCAAGAUUCUUCAGUGAGAAGGAAAUUUUAGGCACUGACUGGUGAGUAUGCUUAAGGCUGAGCUAUGUUUUGGUGUGGCAUU